rnacentral:rRNA from 1 species
CCUACGGGAGACAGCAGUAGGGAAUAUUGCUCAAUGGGGGAAACCCUGAAGCAGCAACGCCGCGUGGAGGAUGACGGUUUUCGGAUUGUAAACUUCUUUUUUUAGAGAAGAUAAUGACGGUAUCUAACGAAUAAGCACCGGCUAACUCCGUUCCAGCAGCCGCGGUAAUAUGGAGGGGGCAAGCGUUAUUCGGAAUCACUGGGCGUAGAGAGGGCGUAGGUGGGUUAGCAAGUCAGAUGUGAAAUCCUAUGGCUUAACCAUAAAACUGCAUUUGAAACUGUUAUUCUAGAGUAUAGGAGAGGUAGGUGGAAUUCGUGGUGUAGGGGUGAAAUCCGUAGAGAUCAAGAGGAAUACUGAUUGCGAAGGCGGCCUGCUAGAACGUAACUGACGCUGAUGCGCGAAAGCGUGGGGAGCAAACAGGAUUAGAUACCCUGGUAGUC